GAACGCUGGCGGCGGGCCUAACACAUGCAUGUCGAACGGUAACAGGCCCUUCGGGGUGCUGACGAGUGGCGGACGGGUGAGUAAUGCUUGGGAGUCUGCCUAGUAGUGGGGGAUAACCCGGGGAAACCCGGGCUAAUACCGCAUACGUCCUACGGGAGAAAGCGGGGGAUCGUAAGACCUCGCGCUAUUAGAUGAGCCCAAGUCGGAUUAGCUAGUUGGUAGGGUAAUGGCCUACCAAGGCGACGAUCCGUAGCUGGUCUGAGAGGACGAUCAGCCACACCGGAACUGAGACACGGUCCGGACUCCUACGGGAGGCAGCAGUGGGGAAUAUUGGACAAUGGGGGAAACCCUGAUCCAGCAAUGCCGCGUGUGUGAAGAAGGCCUGCGGGUUGUAAAGCACUUUCAGCAGGGAAGAACAGCACGGGGCUAAUACCCUCGGCCUACGCACC
rnacentral:rRNA from 1 species